AAGGUACCACAAGUCCUCCUUUUCUUUUUGCAAAUACAGACUAACACAGCUGCUACUCUGAAACCUGUCUUUAUAAAGAGUUACUUAUGCUUCAUAGCUCCAUUGAAAGGAGGGUAUUACAAUCCCAUACUGAACAUGGGAAGUGACUUGCCCUGAGAUGACAGGGCCACCAGAGGAUCAUUACCUUACGAAGUGAUCAACAGAAAAAAGAGCUGAACAGGUGUUUCUAGUCCCUGCUGUUCACAAGCUAUUUGCCUCUGAAACUAUGUCAGGUCUCCACUGGUCCCUCAUUCUUGGCACCAGUCCAGGAUUGAAUAUAGCAAAUCCCAGACCUUCGACUAGUGUAACCUGCACACCUUGUUACUAUAACAGACAGCUGCCAUAUUUUACAUCCUUUUUUAGGAUUUGAAGUACAGGAAAAAAACCUAUUGCCCUCACAUUGCCUUUGAAAGCUCAAGUCAGAACCAUUACUACUGGUUUUCAGUGCAUCCAUCUUUUCCCACCAAGUCACAAGAACGUAAGAGCUGACCUACUGGGUCAGAUCAAGGUCCAUCUUGCCCAAGAUCCUGUCUCUGGCAGUGGCCUGCACCAAAGCUUCAGGGGGAGUGUACAGAACAGGGCAACUAUAGAGCGAUCCACCCAGUCUUCCACGCCCAGCUUCUGGCAGUCAGAGGUUUAGGGUCACCUUGAGCACAGACUUGCACCCCUGACCAUCCUGGCUAAUAGCCAUUGAACUCUAAAAGUCCCCCCCAAAAAGACCAACCAACCAUGUGUCUUCCAAAGGGCCUGUUAAGCAUAGUCCUCUCAGAGGAGUGAGACACUAGAUGUUAAAUCUUGACCAAAUAAAAGUGGAACUACAAAGGCAUGCUACAGUACGAACGUAUUUAUACUGCUCUCAUCGCCAUAGUACCUGAGUGCCUUCCAACAGGGCAUUAAACAAGGUGACUAACAUCUGUUGUGUCUGUUCUCUCAUCCGCUCCCCAGGGAGAGGCGUGUGUGCAGACGCACGUUACUAUGAAUUUGUGUCACAGAAAGCAAAAUCAAAGAACUGUGCACUUGGCACAGAAGGUGGUGAGGUUUGUGAUGGUCCCUGGCUCCUGGGGCAGUUCAUUCUAGUGUGUUGGGCCAGCCCCCAAGAAAGCUGUCUCCUGCACAGAUGAGCUUUACCCUUAUUGUAGAAACUCCCUUUGUGCCAGAGGAGUGAAGUUAUCAGCUACAGUCUUUAUCUCAGAGUUGUAGGUGAUCUUUUAGAUACCCUGGGCCCAGGCGAUGGAGACAAGAACCAAAACCUGACUCAAUAUUCUGUGGGAAGCCAGUGGAGGGAGAAGGGGACAGAUUUGAUGUGUUGGCUGUAGCAUGGUGUCCCUAACCUGUUUGCCAGAAGCUGGGAACAGGUGACAGGGGAUGGAUCACUUGAUGAUUCCCUGUUCUGUUCAUUCCCUCUGGGGCACCUGGCACUGGCCACUGUCAGAAGACAGGACACUGGGCUAGAUGGACCUUUGGUCUGACCCGGUAUGGUCAUUCUUAUGUUCGCUAAAGAGACACUGAGAUUCACCUUUCAGUCAGUGCAUUUGCUGACUAAUCUAAUCCCAUCCGUUUACAUGAUAGCUACUGUUGAGGACCAUAAGCACUCAGGACAGGGAUGUCUUCAUAUCCGUUUGUAAAAUGCCUGGCACGCUGUUGGCCCUCUACAAGUUGUUUCCCACCAUUCUCCUCCCCUCAUCUCCUCCCACCAAAAAGACCUUUUAGAAGAAAUCUGUUCUUGGGCAGUCUUGAAAAAUAAAUGGUCACUUUACAUGGCCCAUUAUGCCUUUUUAAAUUGCCAUUGAACUUUCUAUUCCCAUUCCAGGCAAGACCACAGCAAAGUAAAGACUCAAAUGGGACACUCAACGCCCCCAGCCCUGUCAGUAAAGGAGUGCCAGUAAGAGGGGCAUACCCUGCUGCUGCUGCCCAUUCUGUACCUGGUCUGUUGUAUUUUUGCCAGGGUUUAGUCAAUCUGGCAUCAAUCCCCUUCCCCAGAAUCCUAUUGUAAAUUCAGAUUUAAAUAGGAUGACACAUGCCAGUCAUCAUCAUGAUCAAUUUAAAACAAAACCCACCAGAUACAUGAGAAUCUGGAGGGCAGAUUAUAGAAUUUAGCAGCAGGUCACACUUUAGAUCGAACUAUUUGACAAUGUCUCAGAUGGAAAAGUCACCGCAACAAGGAGCGAACGCUUCUGGUUUCACCUGAGUGCAAGCACAAUACCACCAAGUAGGACAUGCAAUAUCCUCCUUUGUACAAGAUAAAAUAAAAACGGCUUGUAUUGCUCUGUAAAUACACAAGCGGGGCAAGCGGUGGUAUUCUUUAGUGCCUUGAAUUCUUGGGCAGCAGUAAUCAAUAGGAUUCUAGGUUUAUUUGCAGUGGGUAAUUCAUCCUUAUUAGCAAGGGUGAUUUCUUAUUGAAUGAGACACAUCAAUAUUCUGUGCAGUUCAGAGCCAGCUGUUCUCAGGAUAAACAAGAAAAGCAUAAUUUCAUUUCAAAACCUGACUUUAGCCUCAAAGUGGCAAUUACCAUUAGUAAAUUGAUGGGACAACACAAUUUGUUUACAAGCAAGAUCCAACUGACGGAGUAUCCAAGUCUAUUCUCCAGGAUUCUUUAGAGCAGGAAUUUUCUCAGAAAAUAAAAAUACUUUGUUCCCCUCUAGUGCCUUUCAGCCAGGGAACGCAAACUGCUUUGCAAGCAUUAAUCAAGCUCCACGACACCCUCAUAAGGUAGGUAAAGGAUAGAUGUAGGGAUCGCUUUCAUCAGCACUGAGAUUUGACUGCAUCUGGAGCGGAAUACAACCACUCAACAGAAGACUGCAAUACAGUGCAAUGGUUUAGGACAGAAAGUGAAGAAGAAUACUGUACACAAUUGAAACCCUAAGUGUGGGGUGGUUUGAGAAAAUAAGAGUUUUUGUGAACUGAAAUGUGAUUAAUUAGACUGAUUAUGCCAUGGAACUCUUCGUAACCAUUAGCAGUAAGUUUUGGUUCUGCAGCUCAUCCCAGAGAUAGAACCUCCUACAGGAAAACAGCCCCUAGCACCACCCUCGGAUAUUAUUUCAUUACUGAUUAAGGGACGAGCAUCUCCUAGUGACACUGAACACACCUCGUCCCAAAGCACCUCAGAGAUCUCCACUGACCUGGCCCAACCUUGAAUAGCUUGUGAGCUGUGAUGGAAUCACAGCCCAGUGUGCUAAGGUUGCAGGCCAUGAGAUCACCCAGUCCAGUUUUUCUGAUGUAACUUAGGUACCUAUAUGGCCCCGAUCAGAGUAGCUGUCUCACAGUCUUUAACGUAUUUAUCCUCUCAAGCCCCCUGUGAAACAGGUAAGUGCUAUUAUUUCCAUUUUUAUAGAUGGAGAACUGAAGUACAGAAAAACUAAGUGACUUACCAAAGGUCACAAAGUCAAUCUGUGGCAGAGUGAGGAACAGAACCAUGGUCAGUAUCCAGCCCACUGGACUAUUUCUCCCCUCAUUAUCUCAAGAGAAGGUUACAAAAUACAUUCUGUUGCAACUUGGGGUCACAGUAUGGCAAAGGUCGUUGAUGCUGGUUACCAAUCCUGUUGCCAUACAUGGCACUCACUAAAGGUCAAUUACAGCCCUGGAAGAAACAAUCAACAUUAGGGAUGUGACGAAUAUUGGCACAUGGUAGGUUGAGUGCAUCAGUUUAGUGGACUUCAAAACAGUAUGUAGCAGAUGCAUCUCAGUGGCCAGAAUUUAUAUAGCACACCAAAAAUAACGUAUGCUGCAAAUCCCAGUUUUACUAUUUGGAUUGAAUACCAAAUAGCUGCCUUCUGUACUGGCUGAGCACAAAAUCCCAAUAAUCCUGUGAGAUUGGGUGGUGCUUCAUUCAAUAAAUGGAGAUUCAAGAAGAGAGAAUGCUGCCAUUAGCAAGACCCACAGAGACAGCAUCACAAAUAUACAGAUUUAAAUGGCGGUGCACCUGCUUACACCAGAUCAAAAGCCAGCCCUUUGUUCCCACCAAACGCCACAGAUCUACAGCUACCAUCUCACUGAACAAAGGCUAACUUGAUCCGCACAGACAUGGCUGUUCAACAUGUAGAAACAGGGAGAGACACUCACCACCACUGGCAAACACUAGAAUCCUGUCAUCUGGUAUAACCAAUACCUUACAAUGAGAACUAUGGUCUCACCACUUGUACAGAACACUGUUGAUUCAUGAAGUGUAGCUAUCCCCUCCAAGAACGUCAUCACAAUUCAACAUUUUCACCCCCCAUCUUGGUGUUCCCCUCCUCCACCCCUUACACAAACACUUUCAAUCAGGCUAUGAAGCGAUAUGCAGGAGGGACACUAAAUGUACAGCCAGCAAUGAGAAGCCUGAAUCUUCUGUUCUCCCUGAAAAGCCACGACGAGCCUCCAAAGGAUGCCAUCUUUAAAAUGGUUUAAUUCUUCAAUGCAACUCAUGAGCCAUUCACAAAUGGGACUCAAUCUUUCUGGCUCGCUCUUUUUCUCCUAUUUGCACAACUUUACACGCUUUUUGGAGGGGUGGGGAGGAAGGAAGGCAAGAACAAGCUUCCCCCCACCCACUGCAGAUUCAGCUGCCAACAAUCAUCAUUGUUGGUCCUGUCUACACAGGGCCACAAAGUAUCAAAAUACAGUCAAAAACCAGUUCAGACCCACUCAAUUUAAAUUUGGUCUAGCACAGUCAGUAUGGAUGAAGACAGACACUGUUAAAGCGAGUUAUAGCCUGAACUGAUGUAAAAAAUAACUCCCAAUCUGCAUGCACUAAUAUCUCCACACACAUCAUCUACUUUUGCCCACCAUCCACUGUGUUUGCAUCAGCUGCUAGCAAGCCUGUUUAACCACAAGGGAGGCCUAGCUGUUACCAGAAUAAAUUAAUGGACCCAAGGGUGUAUCUUUACAAAACAAGCAGACAGAUUGCAUAAAAUGGUUGUUUGUCUGAUUUGUCCAUGGAACAGUUUGGCCCAACUAAAACUAUUUUUGACACAACCCUCACAAUCACGAUUGUACCAACACAUUCUGGCACUCCCAAAGGGUUUAUCCAAUAGGGAUGUGUAUUCUAUAGCUAUCAAGUUCAUCCUUUGCAGCAAAAUGGGCUCCAGAAUGUAAGCUUCUAAAAAAAAAAAAAAAAAAAAAAAUGUCUCUAGCCCUUACAGUUGCAAAGAUAACCUUGAAAAUAUACUUAAACUUUAGAGAGCACACAGCCUGAAUAGGAGGGGUGAGGUGUGACCCACCUCAUUCAUCUCAAGAAGCAGUUACCUCUGAAACCUACAGACAGCAGUGACAUUGCCAACACCAUUAACACUCUCACUGCUGACCACUGAAGCAAACCUUCAGUCAUUUUUUUUAUUCCACAGUUACAAAAUAAAUGCCACAGGGCUACUGGAACAAUAUUAUUCAUUUUUGUAUUUCAUAAAAACCUCUUAAAAAAGAAA